UCCGGGCUCCGCAGAGCAUAGGUAACGGCUAACGGCCGCCGGGGGCGACCCCAGGGAUAGUGCAACAGAGAAUAACCGCCUGCUGUAUUUAUCAGCGGGUAAGGGUGGAAAGGUGAGGUAAGAGCUCACCGCCGGUACGGAGACGUGCCCGGCGUGUAAACCCUGCCUUGGAGCAACACCGCAGAGGGACAUUAAGCCUGCUCGGCAGUCCCGAUCAGGUGGCGUUGAGCGUGUGUGGCAACACCGCGCCAAGAUAGAUGACUGUUCACGACAGAACCCGGCUUACAGAUUUAGU
rnacentral:RNase_P_RNA from 1 species